rnacentral:tRNA from 1 species
GGGCGUGUAGCUCAGCCGGUCAGAGCGCCUGGCUUACAACCAGGAGGUCGGAGGUUCGAGCCCUCCCGCGCCCA